GCCUGGUUCUUUGGUGUUGUGGUCAGCACGUGUGAUUCUUACCCGGGAGUUUGGGGUUCAAGUCCCCACCCGGGCC